rnacentral:rRNA from 1 species
GAUGAACGCUAGCUACAGGCUUAACACAUGCAAGUCGAGGGGUAGCAGGGUAGCAAUACCGCUGACGACCGGCGCACGGGUGAGUAACACGUAUCCAACCUUCCCAUAACUCGGGGAUAGCCUUUCGAAAGAAAGAUUAAUAUCCGAUAGUACUUUUUCAAGGCAUCUUGAGAAAGUUAAAGAUUUAUUGGUUAUGGAUGGGGAUGCGUUCCAUUAGAUAGUUGGUGAGGUAACGGCUCACCAAGUCUUCGAUGGAUAGGGGUUCUGAGAGGAAGGGCCCCCACAGUGGUACUGAGACACGGACCAAACUCCUACGGGAGGCAGCAGUGAGGAAUAUUGGUCAAUGGGCGAGAGCCUGAACCAGCCAAGUAGCGUGAAGGAUGAAGGUCUUAUGGAUUGUAAACUUCUUUUAUAGUAGAAUAAAGUGAUCCACGUGUGGAUUUUUGUAUGUAUACUAUGAAUAAGGAUCGGCUAACUCCGUGCCAGCCGCCGCGGUAA